rnacentral:rRNA from 1 species
AUUGAACGCUGGCGGCAGGCCUAACACAUGCAAGUCGAACGAGUGGCGGACGGGUGAGUAAUGUCUGGGAAACUGCCCGAUGGAGGGGGAUAACUACUGGAAACGGUAGCUAAUACCGCAUACCAUCGGAUGUGCCCAGAUGGGAUUAGCUAGUAGGCGGGGUAAAGGCUCACCUAGGCGACGAUCCCUAGCUGGUCUGAGAGGAUGACCAGCAACACUGGAACUGCGCCAGGGUCCAGACUCCUACGGGAGGCAGUAGUGGGGAAUAUUGCACAAUGGGCGCAAGCCUGAUGCAGCCAUGCCGCGUGUAUGAAGAAGGCCUUCUGGUUGUAAAGUACUUUCAGCAGGGAGGCGGUACCCGCAGAAGAAGCACCGGCUAACUCCGUGCCAGCAGCCGCGGUAAUUC